rnacentral:rRNA from 1 species
CCUACGGGGGGCAGCAGUGGGGAAUAUUGCACAAUGGGCGAAAGCCUGAUGCAGCGACGCCGCGUGAGCGAAGAAGGAUUUCGGUAUGUAAAGCUCUAUCAGCAGGGAAGAAAAUGACGGUACCUGACUAAGAAGCCCCGGCUAACUACGUGCCAGCAGCCGCGGUAAUACGUAGGGGGCAAGCGUUAUCCGGAUUUACUGGGUGUAAAGGGAGCGUAGGCGGCAAGGCAAGUCUGAUGUGAAAACCCGGGGCUCAACCCCGGGACUGCAUUGGAAACUGCUUAGCUAGAGUGUCGGAGAGGUAAGUGGAAUUCCUAGUGUAGCGGUGAAAUGCGUAGAUAUUAGGAGGAACACCAGUGGCGAAGGCGACUUACUGGACGAUAACUGACGCUGAGGCUCGAAAGCGUGGGGAGCAAACAGGAUUAGAUACCCCAGUAGUC